rnacentral:rRNA from 1 species
AGUGAACGCUGGCGGUAGGCCUAACACAUGCAAGUCGAACGGCAGCACAGUAAGAGCUUGCUCUUACGGGUGGCGAGUGGCGGACGGGUGAGGAAUACAUCGGAAUCUACUUUUUCGUGGGGGAUAACGUAGGGAAACUUACGCUAAUACCGCAUACGACCUACGGGUGAAAGCAGGGGAUCUUCGGACCUUGCGCGAUUGAAUGAGCCGAUGUCGGAUUAGCUAGUUGGCGGGGUAAAGGCCCACCAAGGCGACGAUCCGUAGCUGGUCUGAGAGGAUGAUCGGCCACACUGGAACUUAGACACGGUCCAGACUCCUACGGGAGGCAGCAGUGGGGAAUAAUGGACAAUGGGCGCAAACCUGAUCCAGCCAUACCGCGUGGGUGAAGGAGGCCUUCGGGUUGGAAAGCCCUUUUGUUGGGAAAGAAAAGCAGCAGGUUAAUACCCCGCUGUUCUGACGGUACCCAAAGAAUAAGCAACGGCUAACUUCGUG